UACGGAGGGUGCGAGCGUUGUCCGGAAUCACUGGGCGUAAAGGGCGCGUAGGCGCCUUCUAAGUCGAACGUGAAAUCCCCGGGCUCAACCCGGGAACUGCGUCCGAUACUGGAAGGCUUGAAUCCGGGAGAGGGAUGCGGAAUUCCAGGUGUAGCGGUGAAAUGCGUAGAUAUCAGGAGGAACACCGGUGGCGAAGGCGGGUCUCUGGGCAGCAACUGACGCUGGAGGAGCGAAAGCCGUGGGGAGCAAACAGG
rnacentral:rRNA from 1 species